rnacentral:rRNA from 1 species
GACGAACGCUGGCGGCGUGCUUAACACAUGCAAGUCGAACGGAAAGGCCCUGCUUUUGUGGGGUGCUCGAGUGGCGAACGGGUGAGUAACACGUGAGUAACCUGCCCUUGACUUUGGGAUAACUUCAGGAAACUGGGGCUAAUACCGGAUAGGAGCUCCUGCUGCAUGGUGGGGGUUGGAAAGUUUCGGCGGUUGGGGAUGGACUCGCGGCUUAUCAGCUUGUUGGUGGGGUAGUGGCUUACCAAGGCUUUGACGGGUAGCCGGCCUGAGAGGGUGACCGGCCUCAUUGGUACUGAGGUACGGCCCAGACUCCUACGGGAGGCAGCAGUGGAGAAUAUUGCACAAUGCGCGGAACCCUGAUGCAGCAACGCCGCGUGCUGGAUGACGGCCUUCGGGUUGUAAACCGCUUUCGCCUGUGACGAAGCGUGAGUGACGGUAAUGGGUAAAGAAGCACCGGCUAACUACGUG